GAUUAUUUCAAAAAUAUUGAGAAUUUUAAUAGUGACAGGAGGCGAAUAUUUUGCAUACUUCCUUUACUGAUAUCUCCAAUAGCAGCAAACAAUAAACCAACCAAAAGAACAAUAAUAAUUCAAGGUUUAUCAAUACCAGGCCAUCUCACUGGCUUCCACUUUCUUCGAUGGAAAAAAACGAACAGUAGUGAUGUCCCGAACGGUUCGCCACGGACUCAUCAUUGAGUAAACUUUGACCCUUUACCUCACAGUCAGCAGACACAUUCCAGCCAAUCAGCAGCA